ensembl:lncRNA LINC00964 long intergenic non-protein coding RNA 964
AGAGAAGCAGCCUUUGUUCCUCAGUUCAUCGCAACACUCAGCCUGUCAGUCAGGUUGUGGGAUCCCUCCUAUCCAGGAACUGUAUGCUGUUGUCCCGGUUCUGACACUUUCCCUCUGAGUCCUUGGACACCUUACCUAACCUCUUGGAAGCUCCUGUCUGUGAAGGGUGUGCACAGAGAGCUUCGGUAGCCUGCGAAGCAGCCAUUUUCACUUCCACGGAGCAGGUAUUUUAUUGCAUUAUUUCGAGCUCAAGGACUCCAGAAUUAGAUCCCCAAAAUAUGCCUGAGAAACAUUUACUCCCCAGGAGCUCAAACUAAAUAAUGAAAACCAUUGAAAACAACCAGGCAGCCCAUGUCCUGAAGUCACCUUUUCCUGGGAGGUCCAGGAGAGUUUUUCCUACUUUCCCUGAGUUAUCCUUCCCUUUCCUUCCCUUCCCUUUCUUCCCCAGAGGGCGAUGCAUGUUAAUCAAGGAGCCUGCAUUUGCGCAGGUAUAGACAAUUACACAUUUACUGGGUCAGUUGCACCUGGGGGGGACGCCAAUCUGUAAAGCAGAACCAAACCUCUUGCCUUCAGUCCUCAGAAGUUCUUCUGGUUAAAAUCAUCUAAAAAGUUGUUUCAAGUCUCCAGAACAGCUGAGAUCAGCAAAAAUAAAUGAAGCUUCUUCUGUGUGGGUGCAGAUGCUGGCCUGGGUGCUGGAAUAUGGAAAUGAGGAAGAUCCUGCCUGAGGAUUUCAUGACAGGUGAGGGGGAGAGAGGCCUGAGGAAGUUACCACCGGGGAAGGUGACAAGUGCAGUGAUAGGAUAAAUACGAAGUGCAAAGAGAAGACAGACAAGAAGUUCAGCUAGCUAAGAAAUGUGUUAAUAACACCUUGAUCAAUCAUUCCUCCACUUUUUUUUUCUUUUGAGAGUCUCAUUCUGUCACCCCACCCAGAGUGCAGUGGCAGGAACACAACUCAUUGCUACUUCAACUUUCUGGGCUCAAGCGAUCCUCCUGCCUCAGCCUCCUGUGUAGCUGGGGCCACGUGUAUUGCACCACCAAGCCUGGCUUAUUUUUUAAUUUCUUUUGUAAAGACAGGGUCUCACUAUGUUGCCCAGACUGGUUUCAAACUCUUGGACUUAAGCAAUCCUCUCAUCUUUGCCUCCCAAAGUGCUGCGAUUACCGACGUGAGCCACUGUGCCCAGCCUCACUUUAAAAAAAAAAAAAGGUUAUGAAGCAUCUCAACACAAGACCUCCUUUGCUCAUCACAACCACCCAGUGAAGCAGGCAAGACAACAGAAACUCCCCACCUGUGAUAGAUGUGAGGCCUGAAGUCUCCCACAUACCCACGGCAGAUGCAACGCACAGCGGUGACCAAUGGUGAAGGAUCUAAAACCUGAAAAGAGGCCAAAUGAUUCCUCAAAACCACGCAAGUACGAAGUAGCAGAGCGGAUCUCAAAUCCAGAAUACUACUAAAGUCAUGCCGUGUGACUUCUGAAGCUAGCUCCUAAGAAGUCCUUGCAGCUUCUGCCUGCGACUCUUAGAACACUUGCUUUGAAGGAUGCCAGAUGCUGUCUUAAAAGUCUGAGCACUCUGAAACCAUCAUGCUGUGAGGAAGCCCAAGCUAACCACAUGGGCAAAAAAGAUGCCCUCUGACUGCCACCAUUUGAGACACUCUAAUUAAGAACUGCCUCAUUGAGCCCAUGAGGCCCUGUGAAUGAUAAUAAUAAAUUGUUUUUAACCACUAUGUUUUUGGAUUUGUUAUAAGUUUAUAGAUAACAAGAAAAAGUUAUAUUAGCAUGGUAAUAAAAUUAUGGAUAUGUGUA